CAGCUACACAGUGCUUGAACUUGGAGUUAGGAACUAUCCCAGGGAUGAGACCAGUGGAGUAUCUUAGAUGGCCGCUCACAGGCUUUUAAGACCCCAGACACUACUCACCAAGGUGCAACUCUGAUUUUUUUGGCUUUGAGGUGGACCACGGAGAUUCCGGCCCAAAGGCGACUAGGGACCAUUAGGAAGGAGAUGUUAUUUGAGCACUUGGGAUUAUGGACCAUUCUUUUCUUUCUCUGUGGUGUCAAAGAAGAAAGAGGUAAUGAAAGUCGGUG